rnacentral:rRNA from 1 species
GAUGAAGGGCGUGCUAAUCUGCGAUAAGCGCCGGUAAGGUGAUAUGAACCGUUAUAACCGGCGAUACCCGAAUGGGGAAACCCAGUGUGACUCGUCACACUAUCAUUAACUGAAUCCAUAGGUUAAUGAGGCGAACCGGGGGAACUGAAACAUCUAAGUACCCCGAGGAAAAGAAAUCAACCGAGAUUCCCCCAGUAGCGGCGAGCGAACGGGGAGGAGCCCAGAGCCUGAAUCAGCAUGUGUGUUAGUGGAAGCGUCUGGAAAGGCGCGCGAUACAGGGUGACAGCCCCGUACACAAAAGCGCAUGUGCUGUGAGCUCGAUGAGUAGGGCGGGACACGUGGUAUCCUGUCUGAAUAUGGGGGGACCAUCCUCCAAGGCUAAAUACUCCUGACUGACCGAUAGUGAACCAGUACCGUGAGGGAAAGGCGAAAAGAACCCCGGCGAGGGGAGUGAAAAAGAACCUGAAACCGUGUACGUACAAGCAGUGGGAGCACAGGUUUACCUGUGUGACUGCGUACCUUUUGUAUAAUGGGUCAGCGACUUAUAUUCUGUAGCAAGGUUAACCGAAUAGGGGAGCCGGAGGGAAACCGAGUCUUAAUUGGGCGUUAAGUUGCAGGGUAUAGACCCGAAACCCGGUGAUCUAGCCAUGGGCAGGUUGAAGGUUGGGUAACACUAACUGGAGGACCGAACCGACUAAUGUUGAAAAAUUAGCGGAUGACCUGUGGCUGGGGGUGAAAGGCCAAUCAAACCGGGAGAUAGCUGGUUCUCCCCGAAAGCUAUUUAGGUAGCGCCUCGUGAAUUCAUCUCCGGGGGUAGAGCACUGUUUCGGCUAGGGGGCCAUCCCGGCUUACCAACCCGAUGCAAACUGCGAAUACCGGAGAAUGUUAUCACGGGAGACACACGGCGGGUGCUAACGUCCGUCGUGAAGAGGGAAACAACCCAGACCGCCAGCUAAGGUCCCAAAGUCAUGGUUAAGUGGGAAACGAUGUGGGAAGGCCCAGACAGCCAGGAUGUUGGCUUAGAAGCAGCCAUCAUUUAAAGAAAGCGUAAUAGCUCACUGGUCGAGUCGGCCUGCGCGGAAGAUGUAACGGGGCUAAACCAUGCACCGAAGCUGCGGCAGCGACGCUGAUGCGUUGUUGGGUAGGGGAGCGUUCUGUAAGCCUGCGAAGGUGGCCUGUGAGGGUUGCUGGAGGUAUCAGAAGUGCGAAUGCUGACAUAAGUAACGAUAAAGCGGGUGAAAAGCCCGCUCGCCGGAAGACCAAGGGUUCCUGUCCAACGUUAAUCGGGGCAGGGUGAGUCGACCCCUAAGGCGAGGCCGAAAGGCGUAGUCGAUGGGAAACGGGUUAAUAUUCCCGUACUUGGUGUUACUGCGAAGGGGGGACGGAGAAGGCUAUGUUGGCCGGGCGACGGUUGUCCCGGUUUAAGCGUGUAGGUGUGUGUUCCAGGUAAAUCCGGUUCACUUUAACACUGAGGCGUGAUGACGAGGCACUACGGUGCUGAAGCAACAAAUGCCCUGCUUCCAGGAAAAGCCUCUAAGCAUCAGGUAACAUCAAAUCGUACCCCAAACCGACACAGGUGGUCAGGUAGAGAAUACCAAGGCGCUUGAGAGAACUCGGGUGAAGGAACUAGGCAAAAUGGUGCCGUAACUUCGGGAGAAGGCACGCUGACACGUAGGUGAAGUGAUUUACUCAUGGAGCUGAAGUCAGUCGAAGAUACCAGCUGGCUGCAACUGUUUAUUAAAAACACAGCACUGUGCAAACACGAAAGUGGACGUAUACGGUGUGACGCCUGCCCGGUGCCGGAAGGUUAAUUGAUGGGGUCAGCGCAAGCGAAGCUCCUGAUCGAAGCCCCGGUAAACGGCGGCCGUAACUAUAACGGUCCUAAGGUAGCGAAAUUCCUUGUCGGGUAAGUUCCGACCUGCACGAAUGGCGUAAUGAUGGCCAGGCUGUCUCCACCCGAGACUCAGUGAAAUUGAACUCGCUGUGAAGAUGCAGUGUACCCGCGGCAAGACGGAAAGACCCCGUGAACCUUUACUAUAGCUUGACACUGAACAUUGAGCCUUGAUGUGUAGGAUAGGUGGGAGGCUUUGAAGUGUGGACGCCAGUCUGCAUGGAGCCGACCUUGAAAUACCACCCUUUAAUGUUUGAUGUUCUAACGUGGACCCGUGAUCCGGGUUGCGGACAGUGUCUGGUGGGUAGUUUGACUGGGGCGGUCUCCUCCUAAAGAGUAACGGAGGAGCACGAAGGUUGGCUAAUCCUGGUCGGACAUCAGGAGGUUAGUGCAAUGGCAUAAGCCAGCUUGACUGCGAGCGUGACGGCGCGAGCAGGUGCGAAAGCAGGUCAUAGUGAUCCGGUGGUUCUGAAUGGAAGGGCCAUCGCUCAACGGAUAAAAGGUACUCCGGGGAUAACAGGCUGAUACCGCCCAAGAGUUCAUAUCGACGGCGGUGUUUGGCACCUCGAUGUCGGCUCAUCACAUCCUGGGGCUGAAGUAGGUCCCAAGGGUAUGGCUGUUCGCCAUUUAAAGUGGUACGCGAGCUGGGUUUAGAACGUCGUGAGACAGUUCGGUCCCUAUCUGCCGUGGGCGCUGGAGAACUGAGGGGGGCUGCUCCUAGUACGAGAGGACCGGAGUGGACGCAUCACUGGUGUUCGGGUUGUCAUGCCAAUGGCACUGCCCGGUAGCUAAAUGCGGAAGAGAUAAGUGCUGAAAGCAUCUAAGCACGAAACUUGCCCCGA